rnacentral:rRNA from 1 species
UACGUAGGGUGCAAGCGUUAAUCGGAAUUACUGGGCGUAAAGCGUGCGCAGGCGGCUAUGCAAGACAGAUGUGAAAUCCCCGGGCUCAACCUGGGAACUGCAUUUGUGACUGCAUGGCUAGAGUGCGGCAGGAGGGGGAUGGAAUUCCGCGUGUAGCAGUGAAAUGCGUAGAUAUGCGGAGGAACACCGAUGGCGAAGGCAAUCCCCUGGGCCUGCACUGACGCUCAUGCACGAAAGCGUGGGGAGCAAACAGG